rnacentral:rRNA from 1 species
CCUACGGGAGGCAGCAGUGAGGAAUAUUGGUCAAUGGGCGCGAGCCUGAACCAGCAAAGUCGCGUGAGGGAAGACGGUCCUAUGGAUUGUAAACUUCUUUUGUCGGGGAGCAAAAGACGCCACGCGUGGCGUUUCGAGAGUACCUGACGAAAAAGCAUCGGCUAACUCCGUGCCAGCAGCCGCGGUAAUACGGAGGAUGCGAGCGUUAUCCGGAUUUAUUGGGUUUAAAGGGUGCGCAGGCGGAAGCUCAAGUCAGCGGUAAAAUUGAGAGGCUCAACCUCUUCGAGCCGUUGAAACGGGUUUUCUUGAGUGAGCGAGAGGUAUGCGGAAUGCGUGGUGUAGCGGUGAAAUG